UCCACAGGUCCGGGUAGGAGACUGUGCUUCUUCACAGGGAGUCCACUUCUGGUCCUCUGUGGCUUCUGCUUGUCUGUGUGGGGAAAAGCCCACCGGGCCGAGAGUCAGAGGGCCCGGGCUGUGUAGCACCAGAGCUACACAGAAGUGGCUCCUCAGGGCCUCCGUUUUCUCAGCCUUCUAUCCCUGACCCAUUGACCGCCUAAUACAGACUUGCCUGGAACACUGCUGUGCACUCCAGAUCUUGGACUCAAACCUUCCAUCUCCAGUGUGCAGAUGGCCUUUGUGCUUUCUUCCUUGUCUAACUCCCUGGCUGACCGUCAACGAAAAUGCUGGUGUAGAGAACUUUAACAGUCAGGCCCUGGAUUUUAUAGUCCAGGCUUCACAUGGAAGCAGCAUCCUGGACUCAGGUCUCAAGGAAAGGUGAAGAAAAAUGUCAGUUUUUCCCUCUACAUAGCAACUACUAUUACACAGAACAUGAUAAAAUUGCUGGUGGUCUUUUUAGACUUUCAUGGUCAGUAAGAAUCAUGAAAGGAAAGUACUGGGCUUAGACUCAGGAGGCAAGAGUGCUGAUCUUGGCUCUGCCACUGUGUGUCUGACUGAAGCUCGCUGAGUAUAUUUCUUCCUCUGCAGCUCCUCUCUAGGGAUCCUUCCACGCUAGACAUUUGGUGGACAAGGACAUAGAGGGCAGAGUGUGGAAAGUGUGGGGCAGAAAACAAAAAGCACGUAGAGGAAUGAUACAAGACAAAGACAUAAUACCUGGGU